UACGGAGGGGGCGAGCGUUAUUCGGAAUUAUUGGGCGUAAAGGGCGCGUAGGCGGCCCUGCAAGUCAAAGGUGAAAUCCCUCGGCUCAACUGAGGAACUGCCUUUGAAACUGCGGGGCUUGAGGCCGGGAGGGGGUAGCGGAAUUCCCAGUGUAGCGGUGAAAUGCGUAGAUAUUGGGAGGAACACCAGUGGCGAAGGCGGCUACCUGGACCGGUUCUGACGCUGAUGCGCGAAAGCGUGGGGAGCAAACAGG
rnacentral:rRNA from 1 species